UGUUUCAGCAUACAGCAUCGUUUCAUUUUCAUUUGUUUUAUUUUAGGUGCCACACAAUACAGAGCCUGCGGUUCAUGUGAGGGGUCAGGAGCCCAGCAAAUGCCAUUUUGCUCUCCACAAAGUUUUCUCUGAUUUUGUUUAUAAAAAUGAAAAAAAUUCCUAUAUUAUUCUGGCUUGGUGUACAUGCAAAUGUUGUUUCAGACUCUUAUUUUCUGUCAAUUCUACCAUUGUGACAUCCUCCCAAGAUCACAAUGCACUUCUUCCAUUAUGGUUAAUGUUGUUUUUAAUCAGAAAAUGGGUGAAAGGGUGUCCUAUUAGCGAGUGUUGAUGUUUUAUUUUGCACAUCGUUUGAACUGGCUAAUUUUGGGCUGAUGGGAGAACAACAGGAGGAGUUGCAAUCAGAGGAGUCAGUCGUACAAACGCUCCGCGAGAGUCUAUAAUGUGCCAUCAGUGCGCCAGCUCCUGUUGUUCAUCAGGUGGCAAUAAAAUACAGAGCCUGAGGUUCACGAGACUACGUCGCCCCUUACAGCAUCAGAGGCGUCUCCAAAAGAACCGCUUGGAAUAAUUUACAAAACAUCUUCAAGCUGACUGUACUUCCGUCUUUAAAUGAGUUCAAGACACUUUUAACAAAUUAUGUGUUUUGUUCUUUGAUAAUUUGUUGUUGUGAAUCAUGAUUGUGUAAGGUGUUUUGUUGUAAAUUUGUAUAUUUGUUAUAUGUAGCUGCCGUCCUGGCCAGGUCACUCUUGUAAAAGAGAUUUUAAUCUCAAUGAGUUUUUUUACCUGGUUAAAUAAAGAAUGAAUGAAUGAGAAACAACUGCUGGGUAUUAUCAAAUAACUUAUAUUUUGCUCUAAGGAGGAGUUAUCAGCUAAGAAGUGAGGAGCUUCCCGAGGCAAGCCAGUUAUAUGCCACAUCAAUGAUCAACUAAUCUUCUGGACCAGUAUUUGGCUUUAAAAUAACAAACACUUUCAAACUCCACACAUUGUUUCAUGCAAAUCUUCGCUAUUUUAUUGUGUGCAUGCACUUCAAGAGUCAUGUUUCCAAUACAAUUUCUGUGUGCAAUAAAUAUUGU